ensembl:lncRNA
CCAGGGGAGACGGCGUUUGGGUUUUUGACGCGCCCUGGAUCGAACUCUGCAGUCCAGCCUGCGCUUUUCCAGAUGCUUUUGCAGGCCAGAGGCCUCACCAGUCUCUCAGGAGUGGUUAGCGAGCCCAUCCCCCCCCCCCCCCAGCAGACCCACCCGAGCCCUGCGGACGACGCUCAGCUGUCCAAACACGCAGCGGCGCGUUCAGUCCCAGUGACUCGCGUGAUGAUUAACGAGCGGCUUGAUCAUUUAAUAUCGCGUGUGAUUAAAUUAUGAGGUGUGGGGGAGGGGAGCGCUGCACUCCCGGCCAACCGGGCGGAUGCCGCCAGCCGGCGGGUCUGGGCUGAGCGCACGGAGCCGGCUAGCUCGCUGUGCACUGCGCCUGGCGAGGCUUGAGCCGCGGUCCGCGCCUUCCCGAGCGUAAACAAUGUGUGCCUUGUGGGAGCAAUGCCUUUCCCGGAAAUUAAAGGAAACCGGAAACCGGACCGGAAAAGUCACAGGCAUAAGUGUGUCUUUGGAAAGAAAGACUCCACGCUCUCAAUAUUAACCUGGGGAUGAGGGGCACGGUGGGUGCCAAUUCCCCAGACUGUGGUCAAUCUGCCGUCUAACUAAAGGGUGCCAGGAUACUAACGACUCCCAAACUGGCAAGAUAAAAACUUAGUUUUCUUCUUCUUAUCCACGAGAUCCCUUAAGUCUGUUGCUUUCGGAAGACACCUGCAAAAAUGACGUGGAAAUCAGUGGCGCACCGGGUGGCAUUGUUCCUGGAUGCGUGGGGACGCCGGCGGCGCGGCCUGGCUGCGCGGCCUGGCUACACGUCCGGAGCGCGAGUCAGCAGUCAGCGCGCAUUGAUUUCACCCCGAGUCUCCGCCCUGCUGCCGAACAUCAUUUAGGCCAAGAUCGGGAUAAUGGGAAACACCAUCAGCAGACAAUUACCCUUUCAGAGGAUUCACUUCUCCUCACAGACACUGUUAUUUGAGAAAUAGGAUCAUUUGAUUUCAUAUUGCACUAAAUAACACCCAGCCGGUUCAAAUUGCCAGCUUCUUAAAAACCGCCCAUUGGAAUAAAUUGCAGCGGCCUCUUUUGCUUUUCAGGGAAAUAUGACCGGGACUGGGCAGAACUUGCAAAAAUAACUACAAAGCCAGCCCCGAGCAGUCGCUAUUGGUGGGAACAGCGCUGCCACCCCACAAGCAAAGACAUCCAGGCACUUUGUCCCUUGUCACCGCCCCCCUCCGCCUGCCAACUUUGAGAGGAUUCAACUACUUGGCUUUGGAAUUAAAAUGCUCAGCCCCAGCCACCCCGAGAAUGCGCCUCGAGCCACCCGGCGCACUAAUGUUGAGCCACGAGAGACGGGCAGGUGCGCGAGACAACAGGCUUCUCGGUAGCUUUCAGAGUGUGUGCCUUUGGAUACAGCCGCGGAGCUGGGGCCCCGAGGCGUGAGCGUGCGCCCCCCACGGUCCCGGGUCUCAGAUCCUAGUGCAGAGAGCGGCGCGGCCAACGGUCAGCGCGGGUCCCAUCGCUGCAUCCUGCUUCCAGGUGCGCCUUGUAGGCCUUUCUGCCUUCACAACCGGCGCCAAGUCGGCGGCCCUGGCAGGGUCUCGCAGGCAGGCAGGCAGGAGGAGAGGGCAAGCGGCCGGCGGCGGAAGACGUUUCAGAAAGAUUUAAGCCUUUUGAAGUCGACCACUUACUGUGUUUUGACACUGUUGGAUUGACAAUUGUCCAGCUGGAUGGGGGCGACCUACCCCCUACACUUUAAAAAUACAUAAGAGUUGACUCCUUGGUCCUUGUUCUUUUGUGCUACGACAAAACUACGUAACUACGACAGCGCGGGUUUGGGGAACCUGUCGGUGGAGGUCUUUAUGACAUUGGUGUUCAUGUACUUCAGGAGGCCGAAUUAGAUUCCCUCUCUCCUGCUUUUACUGAAGGCCAGAUCCUGGGGGCUCCCCGGUGCGCCCUACUCGGGUUGACCUGCAAGACCUGUUAGUGGGUCUAGGGACCCGGACCCAGGUGGCGAGGCCUAGGGGGAAACGGUUUGUCUAAAAGCAAGCAGUUUCUUGGAAGGUGAUCUCAGGAAACACCCAAGUUGAGGGCAGAGAAGAAGACACGGGCACAGGGAGAAUGUGCCCGAAGACCUGAGGCUCCAUGCUGAAUGAGGGUCCCUCAUGCCAGUUAUUUCCCUUCACAGCAGCCAGGCCAGCACUCCCGUAGGUGUACCAAAUGGCUAUCACUCUCUUGGACACCACAGAGCAAUGGCAGCACAAGCCAAGGGAAGAUUCCAGAACCUAUGACUAGGUUUGUGUGGAUUUGCAGUCAGUGGAUGCAUGUCCAUCAACCGUUUGGAAUCCAGGUUUCUAUAUUGGACUUUUAAUCAUGAGGUUUCCAAUGACAGAAUAAGCCCUGAAACAAAUGGACUAUUGUGCUCCCAGGAAAUGUGUUGCUAAGUAUGUUGUUUUUCAGUAAAACCACUAAAGAUAGAUGGCAGACAACUUGUACGAGUAGAGGAGCCAGAGAUUGACAAUUCUUUCUCAGUGGCUCUUACUGACCACACGGGGAUUUCUGUAGCUCUUGAAUGCAUUCUUCCUGCAAUCCCAUUUUAAAA